rnacentral:tRNA from 1 species
CAAGGGUUAGUUUAUUAAAAAUAUCAGUUUUGGGGAUUGAUGAUGGAAAAAUUUUCCACCCUUGA